CCGAAUAGUGUGCGGUAAGCUCGUAGUUGGAUUUCUGUCGAGGACGACCGGUCCAUACAAUGUAUGUGCAUCUGGUUCGGCUUCGGCAUCCUCUCGAAAGACGUUUCUGUGCUUGAUUGCAUGGUGCGGAGUUCGGGACUUUUACUUUGAGGAAAUUGGAGUGUUCACGGCAGGCUAUCGCCAGAACAUAUUAGCAUGGAAUAAUACUAUAGGAUUUAGGUUCUAUUUUGUUGGUUUCUAGAAUCUGAAUAAUGAUUAAUAGGGACAAUUGGGGGCAUUCGUAUCAAGGCGUCAGAGGUGGAAUUCUUGGAUUGCCUUGCGACGAACUACUGCGAAAGCAUUUGCCAAGGAUGUUUUCAUUGAUCAAGAACGAAAGUAAGGGGAUCGAAGACGAUUAGAUACCGUCGUAGUCUUUACCACAAACUAUGCCGACUAGAGAUGGGACAUCGUUCUUUUACGACUUGUUCCGCACCUUAUGAGAUAUCAAAGUUUUUGGGUUCCGGGGGGAGUAUGGGCGCAAGCUUGGAACUUAAAGGAAUUGACGGAAGGGCACCACCAGGGGUGGAACCUGCGGCUUAAUUUGACUCAACACGGGAAAACUCACCAGGUCCAGACAUAAUAAGGAUUGACAGAUUGAUAGCUCUUUCUUGAUUUUAUGGGUGGUGGUGCAUGGCCGUUCUUAGUUCGUGGAGUGAUUUGUCUGCUUAAUUGCGUUAACGAACGAGACCUUAACCUGCUAAAUAGGAGCGUCUAUCUUCGGAUAAGCGCCUUUCUUCUUAGA
rnacentral:rRNA from 1 species